rnacentral:tRNA from 1 species
UGCAUCGGCCAGGAAUCGAACCCGGGCCGCCCGCGUGGCAGGCGAGCAUUCUACCACUUAACCACCGAUGG